rnacentral:rRNA from 1 species
AGUGAACGCUGGCGGUAGGCCUAACACAUGCAAGUCGAACGGCAGCACAGUAAGAGCUUGCUCUUACGGGUGGCGAGUGGCGGACGGGUGAGGAAUACAUCGGAAUCUACUUUUUCGUGGGGGAUAACGUAGGGAAACUUACGCUAAUACCGCAUACGACCUACGGGUGAAAGCAGGGGAUCUUCGGACCUUGCGCGAUUGAAUGAGCCGAUGUCGGAUUAGCUAGUUGGCGGGGUAAGGCCCACCAAGGCGACGAUCCGUAGCUGGUCUGAGAGGAUGAUCAGCCACACUGGAACUGAGACACGGUCCAGACUCCUACGGGAGGCAGCAGUGGGGAAUAUUGGACAAUGGGCGCAAGCCUGUUCCAGCCAUACCGCGUGGGUGAAGAAGGCCUUCGGGUUGUAAAGCCCUUUUGUUGGGAAAGAAAAGCAGCAGGUUAAUACCCCGCUGUUCUGACGGUACCCAAAGAAUAAGCACCGGCUAACUUCGUG